rnacentral:rRNA from 1 species
AACAGACGAGGAGCUUGCUCCUCUGACGUUAGCGGCGGACGGGUGAGUAACACGUGGAUAACCUACCUAUAAGACUGGGAUAACUUCGGGAAACCGGAGCUAAUACCGGAUAAUAUAUUGAACCGCAUGGUUCAAUAGUGAAAGACGGUUUUGCUGUCACUUAUAGAUGGAUCCGCGCCGCAUUAGCUAGUUGGUAAGGUAACGGCUUACCAAGGCAACGAUGCGUAGCCGACCUGAGAGGGUGAUCGGCCACACUGGAACUGAGACACGGUCCAGACUCCUACGGGAGGCAGCAGUAGGGAAUCUUCCGCAAUGGGCGAAAGCCUGACGGAGCAACGCCGCGUGAGUGAUGAAGGUCUUCGGAUCGUAAAACUCUGUUAUUAGGGAAGAACAAAUGUGUAAGUAACUAUGCACGUCUUGACGGUACCUAAUCAGAAAGCCACGGCUAACUACGUGCCAGCAGCCGCGGUAAUACGUAGGUGGCAAGCGUUAUCCGGAAUUAUUGGGCGUAAAGCGCGCGUAGGCGGUUUUUUAAGUCUGAUGUGAAAGCCCACGGCUCAACCGUGGAGGGUCAUUGGAAACUGGAAAACUUGAGUGCAGAAGAGGAAAGUGGAAUUCCAUGUGUAGCGGUGAAAUGCGCAGAGAUAUGGAGGACACCAGUGCGAGCGACUUUCUGGUCUGUAAC